rnacentral:rRNA from 3 species
GUCAAAGCGUUCAUUAAAGUCGAGUUGGCUUAGGGAUACGUUCGUUGGGUAGGGGAGCGUUCUGUAAGCCUGUGAAGGUGUGUCGUGAGGCAUGCUGGAGGUAUCAGAAGUGCGAAUGCUGACAUAAGUAACGAUAAAGCGGGUGAAAAGCCCGCUCGCCGGAAGACCAAGGGUUCCUGUCCAACGUUAAUCGGGGCAGGGUGAGUCGACCCCUAAGGCGAGGCCGAAAGGCGUAGUCGAUGGGAAACGGGUUAAUAUUCCCGUACUUGGUGUUACUGCGAAGGGGGGACGGAGAAGGCUAUGUUGGCCGGGCGACGGUUGUCCCGGUUUAAGCGUGUAGGUGUGUGUUCCAGGUAAAUCCGGUUCACUUUAACACUGAGGCGUGACGACGAGGCACUACGGUGCUGAAGCAACAAAUGCCCUGCUUCCAGGAAAA